AGGAGAGCAGUUGAGAGGCUAUUGUCUUCCAGGCGAGAGAAGAUGGCGGCUCAAACUAGAUUUGUGGCAGUAGAAUGAGUGGAUGGAUUCUCGAUGUAUUUUAGUGGUCGCGUUAACAGAUUUUUCCAUUGGAGUGGAUUAGGGAGUGAGGGAAAGGAAGGAGUCAAUAAGAACUCUUGGGUUUCUGUUUGAGCACUGAGUGGAAAAUGAAGCCAUUUACUGAAGGGGGCAAGUGUGGGGAGAAAACAAGUACAUGUAGAGAAAUCCAAACUUCUGCUGUGGAUAUAAUAAGUUUGAGAUACCUGAGAGACAGCCAAAUGGAAACGUCCAGAAGGGAUAAACAGUCCAGAGCACAGAGAUCUGGGUUGGAGGGGACAUGUGGAUGUCAUCAGCCUUAGGCUUUGCUGCUUUUUGUUUUGUUCUGUUUUGUUUACUUUUGCUUCUCCUCUCGACCCUGCACCUGCCCAACUCCUCGUCAUCCUUCAGGUCUCAGCUUAAAUGUCACUUCCUAAGAGAGGCCUACCCUUCCCCUCCCCCAGUAAAAAUCAGUGUGAAUUAGGCUCUCCAUUAGACUCUCUAUUUAAAUUUUUCCUUCAAAGCAGUUAUCACAGUUUGAAAUUAAGAUUUAUGUUUGCUUUUUCUUUAGGGAUGAAUCUCAGUCCCUACAGAGAUUUUCUUGAAAAAGCAACUUCAUUUCUCUAUAAUGAUAUCAUUUGGGCUCUAAAUUUUAGGAAGAGAAGGCAGGGAGAAACGAAAAGAGGGUCAGAGCUGAGUGCAGAUAAAUUGCCACAUUUAUGGGUCAAAUAGAAGAGGGGAAGCUGACAAAAGCAGCCAAGAAGGAGCUAGGGAGAAAAGAAAGUCUGGGAUGCCACAGGAGACAAGCGAUGAGACCGUUUCAGGACCGAGAAGGUGUCUCUAUCAAAUUCUGCUGAGAAGUCAAGUACAUAAAGACUGAAAUGAGUAUUGGAUUAACAACAUGGCGGGCAUGGGGUCCUUUCUAAGGGCAGUUUGGGUGGAGCAGUGUGGAUAGAAGGCAAGUUGUAGUACGUAAAAAAACAAAUGGAAGAUAGGAAUGGAAAAUAAUAUGUGAAGACAAUUGUUCCAAGAAGUUUUAUUGAUGAGAGAGAGAAAACUAGAGCAAUAGCUAGAAGAGAACACGGGGUUAAAGAGGAUAUUUUAGAGCUGUGUGAUAUGAAGUGUGUCUAUGUAUAGAUGUGAACAAUGGAUUGACGGGUGGGAUGGGGAGAAAUAACAAUAGAAGGAAUUGAAGAUGAAUAGAGAAAGAAGAGGAAGGGAAAGAACAAGUAGGAAAGUGGUGACACUCAGAGAAUGGAGCCAAGAAGACUUUGAAGCCCACAGCCAGAGCAGCCCCUAGCCAUGCCCAGAUCAAGACGGGCCAGGAGGCUCCUUUGCAACCCACGGGGCAGAGAGGAGCUGCUAGCUGCUGCUUGUGGACGGGGAAGCCGUCGCUCUGGCUAAGCGGUUAAUCAGUCAGUUGGUAGCCAGAUCCUGGCCCCUGGCCAGUCACAUAUUAGAAGCAGAGUAAUGAGUCUUCUGGCAGGCGUUGUUGAAGAGGAAGGCCGGUGUGGGUGAGCGCUGAGCAUCGGGAGGGCAGCCAGGACCGACUUCAGAAGGAGCAAACUCAGUGGGAGCCUUCAGGGAAAGGGCUGAGAGACGCCGCCUCCACUUCCCCUUUGUUUCUCUCGCCUACAUAGUCUGCAGCCAAAGGGUGGGGGUGCAAUUUAACUCAAUUCUCUUACCGCCUCUCAGUUGUGCCCCUCCAGGGUGACUCCCCCUGCAGCCGCCUUCCACAGGAACAGAUGGGCACAACUCCCAGCUACCAGGGGAGGAGAGCCAGGGAAUGCUGCAGCUGAGGGGCCUCUGAAGCCCCCGUGAUGACCUCACCUUAGUGGUGGGGAGCCUGAAGCAAAGGGGCAGUCCCCGGCUGGCUGAGCCACAGAACCAUGCAGAGGAGCAGACUGGGGCUCCUGGAUCUAAGCAUGAUCAAGAGUCCCGGAGAGGGCAUCUGCUACAAGACACAAAAAUAACCAUCCAGUGUCCUCGCCCAACCUCCCCUAGACCAGUGCUUUUCCAGCCUUCAUGUGCAAGAGAAUGACUAGGGGAUUGUGUUAAAAUGCAAAUUCCGAGUCCACAGAUCCAGGGCGGGGCCUGAGAGUCAGCAUUUCUAAAAGCUCCAGCGUGAUGCUGAGGCUGCUGUUGCUCUGACGGUGCUCUGAAUAGCAAACCCCGGUGGGGGUUAAGAUCUCACUCCCCUGAAAAAUACAUAUAAGCUCAUACACACAAGCCCUUCAUACCCUAUGGGAGUCACAUAGUCAUGAGAGGCCAUUCCCUUGUGGUUUGACCCCCCAGGAGAGUGACCCCUGCCCCACAUACUGUUGUCAAAUUGUUGCCCUUCCCAGGCCCCGCCCCAGAGGUUCUGAGAACUCAGAGGCUAUCAGGCUCACCUGGGACACUUGUUAAACAUACAGAUGCCCUUCCCCCUUUCUCAUUCCCAGAGGAUCUCAUCCAAUAGGUCUGGGGCAGGGUGCAGGAAUACACAUUUCUAUCAAGUUCCCCAGGUGAUUCUGACCUAGGUAUUUUCAUUGAACACACCUGAGGAACCCUAAAUAGAAACAGCUGGGUUCAUCGUUUCCCAGGGAUAUGUGUAUUGAAAUCUGCAAAUCUGAAGGUUUGAAAGAAAGAAGCUGUGAGUGAGGAAGGUCAGGUGGUCAGGUUGGUGUUUUUGGCCAGAGGAUCCUACCCAGCAUUCGCUCAAAUCACCCUGCAGUGAUUGCUUUGAUCACAGGUUGAGUUGAUCCUACUUUUCGGCAAACAAGUUGCUGUCCCCCAGGGAGUGAUUUAGUCAGAGCUGCUGCUCUCUACUUGGAUCCUUGUGGAGGCUGGGAAUGCCAUGCCAUGCUUAGGAGCCAGCCUUUUGGUGCCCUGUUCAGCGUUUCCCUCUGGAAAUCCUGCUACUCUCCCAGCACUCUGUAAGACAGCAGACCAGGAGUCAACGUAACCUUUAGGACGUGUGGGCCUGUCACCUUCCCAGCCUUGGGGAAUCUCCCCAACUCUGUCUUCAUGUUUCUGCCUUCUUUUCCUCCCCAGUUAGUAUAAACACGUCAAGAAGUUCAAGCUUUUGAAAAACAAAAGCCAGCUAGGUUGUUUGUAAUAGAAACCACUUUUGAAGGACUGUCAAAUUUUCCAAAAGUUAAAAAGUCUGACUCUCAUGUUAAUACA
ensembl:lncRNA